rnacentral:lncRNA from 1 species
CAGGAAUUCAAGGCUGAAGAGAAGAGGAAUCAGAGAGGAAGCCUCACAGUUAUGGAUCGGUCUGGUUCUCACUGGAUCUCAAAGGAAAAAGAUUUUUUUCCAAGUGCAAGCACUGGGCUCCAUGGUUUUCCUGAUGUCUUGUGUGAUGAGAAAUUGCUUGCAAAACAUUUGCCCUUGUAUGUCUACAGCCCAAGCUGGAAAGUUACACUGCAGUAUAUGGAAUGUGUGGGCUGGGGGCUGCCAACAGCUCUCUCUGCUUCCAUUGACCAAGGAGAUGUAUCUGGGAAAAAAAGAACAAAAAAAAGAAAAAGAAAAAGAAAAAGAAAAAAAAAAAGGUGACAAAUGAAUCAAACUGAGGGAGGGCUUUACCUGGGAAAUAUAGCCCCAGGUUUUCCACAACUGAAGUAAUUUUCCAUGGUAAUUGGAGAAAGAACAUCAGCCAGCUACAGAAGUGUGAGAACCAUCUUCAUUUUUCAUUCCUGGCCAACUAUUUCUCUUGUUGUUUUUAUGGUCUCUGUGAGAGUAAUGUAGCCUGUGAGACCUCGGUUGCGUAGGUUUGCCAGAUACAGUUGAAGCCUACUCCAGGUAGGCACAUAUUGCAUGUACCAGAAGUGAGGAAAAACAUACUUGUUAAUAGC